rnacentral:lncRNA from 1 species
CUGACUAACCCAACACCUUAUUGAGACUUGUUGAUCAGCCUGACUAACCCAACACCUUAUUGAGACUUGCUGAUCAGUCUGACUAACCCAACACCUUAUUGAGACUUGUUGAUCCCAACACCUUAUUGAGACUUGUUGAUCCCAACACCUUAUUGAGACUUUCUGAUCAGUCUGACUAACCCAACACCUUAUUGAGACUUGUUGAUCAGCCUGACUAACCCAACACCUUAUUGAGACUUGCUGAUCAGUCUGACUAACCCAACACCUUAUUGAGACUUGUUGAUCCCAACACCUUAUUGAGACUUGUUGAUCCCAACACCUUAUUGAGACUUGCUGAUCAGCCUGACUAACCCAAUAGCGUAUGGCUCCAGAGGUUCAAUAAUAUAAUAACACCUACUAACCAACAGAUAAAGUGCCAACAAGGAAAAAGUUGUCUCUGCUCAACGCAGAAGGCUACAGUCAAAUUAUCCUAUAUUUGGCCCAAAUGGCACCCUAUUCCCUAUAAAGUGCACUACUUUUGAACAGAGCACUAUGGGACCUGGUCAAAAGUAGUGCACUAUGUAGGGAAUAGGGUGCCAUUUGGGAUUUAACCAGAAGGAUAUAACAAUGUGUAUUACAUUCAUUUAAAUAAAGCAAGCCAGCCAGGUCUCUCCCUAGGCUAGUUACAGGUUACAGACAACAUGUCUCUCCCCAGGCUAGUUACAGGUUACAGACAACAUGUCUCUCCCCAGGCUAGUUACAGGUUACAGACAACAUGUCUCUCCCCAGGCUAGUUACAGGUUACAGACAACAUGUCUCUCCCUAGGCUAGUUACAGGUUACAGACAACAUGUCUCUCCCCAGGCUAGUUACAGGUUACAGACAACAUGUCUCUCCCUAGGCUAGUUACAGGUUACAGACAACAUGUCUCUCCCUAGGCUAGUUACAGGUUACAGACAACAUGUCUCUCCCUAGGCUAGUUACAGGUUACAGACAACAUGUCUCUCCCUAGGCUAGUUACAGGUUACAGACAACAUGUCCCUCCCCAGGCUAGUUACAGGUUACAGACAACAUGUCUCUCCCUAGGCUAGAUACAGGUUACAGACAACAUGUCUCUCCCUAGGCUAGUUACAGGUUACAGACAACAUGUCUCUCCCCAGGCUAGUUACAGGUUACAGACAACAUGUCUCUCCCCAGGCUAGUUACAGGUUACAGACAACAUGUCUCUCCCUAGGCUAGAUACAGGUUACAGACAACAUGUCUCUCCCCAGGCUAGUUACAGUUUACAGACAACAUGUCUCUCCCUAGGCUAGUUACAGGUUACAGACAACAUGUCUCUCCCCAGGCUAGUUACAGGUUACAGACAACAUGUCUCUCCCCAGGCUAGUUACAGGUUACAGACAACAUGUCUCUCACUAGGCUAGUUACAGGUUACAGACAACAUGUCUCUCCCUAGGCUAGUUACAGGUUACAGACAACAUGUCUCUCCCCAGGCUAGUUAUAGGUUACAGACAACAUGUCUCUCCCAGGCUAGUUAUAGGUUACAGACAACAUGUCUCUCCCAGGCUAGUUAUAGGUUACAGACAACAUGUCUCUCACUAGGCUAGUUACAGGUUACAGACAACAUGUCUCUCCCUAGGCUAGUUACAGGUUACAGACAACAUGUCUCUCCCCAGGCUAGUUAUAGGUUACAGACAACAUGUCUCUCCCUAGGCUAGUUACAGGUUACAGACAACAUGUCUCUCCCUAGGCUAGUUACAGGUUACAGACAACAUGUCUCUCCCCAGGCUAGUUACAGGUUACAGACAACAUGUCUCUCCCCAGGCUAGUUACAGGUUACAGACAACAUGUCUCUCCCCAGGCUAGUUACAGGUUACAGACAACAUGUCUCUCCCAGGCUAGUUACAGGUUACAGACAACAUGUCUCUCCCCAGGCUAGUUACAGGUUACAGACAACAUGUCUCUCCCCAGGCUAGUUACAGGUUACAGACAACAUGUCUCUCCCUAGGCUAGUUACAGGUUACAGACAACAUGUCUCUCCCCAGGCUAGUUAUAGGUUACAGACAACAUGUCUCUCCCCAGGCUAGUUAUAGGUUACAGACAUGUCUCUCACUAGGCUAGUUACAGGUUACAGACAACAGACUGCCACACAGGGCUUGGGUCAAGAGAAGUGUGGUGUAGGAUGCCGUUUGAGGUGUGGCACUAUGGAAAGCAGCAUCUGGGAGGUCAAGGGUCAAAGGCCACCCAGGCAGAGGUCAAGGGUGGGUGACCUCACUCUCUUUACCACUACUCAACGUAGAGGGGGGCGGGAUCUGACUGAUGGGACAGGUUUCUCCAGCUGACGUCUGUGAUUGGACAGAUAUCCAUUCACUCACUCCCUGUGGGGAUAACAUUGCACUGUCUGUCAAAUAAAUAUUCAACCAUAGUCCACCCGGUUCUAUUGGAGAUAAAAGAUCAGAACAUUCCGGUUACAUUGGAUAGAACAAAUUAGAAUAUUCUGAUUCUUUCCUCUGAUGGCAAUAAAGGCAAUCUGGGGCAGAGAAAAAACAAAAAGGACUCUUUUAUAGUCUCUUAACAGAGUACACUUUCAAAAGCACAAAAUGCCCAUUUAGAAUAAAAUAUUCAAAAAAAAUCCUAGGUGGUAUUCUGAGUCUGUUUGAGAGAGGAGAGCAGAUCAGAUGGCCUUCUGACUGAACUUCUGACUUCCCAGCAAACCGGAGCGGACAAAUUCUGCAAGAAUCCAGACACCCGUUUAAAGGAUAGUUGAACAAACAGAGUUUGGGAGAAACAGUAAGAGUUGUUGGAAGGGAUUUGUCCUGGAGAAGUCUUUAGUUAAGGGAGGGAGGGA